GACGGCAAAGCAAAUAUUUGGUGGUAAUGCACAGUUAACAGCUCCUGCACCACUUGUACCUACCAGUGUAAUCACCAGAGGGCGCAGUGGAUCAACUAGAUCAAGCAGAUCACAUUCCUUAACCUUACCAGUCGCUUUGGACUUGAGUUCUCUAGUGACAUCUUUGCCUGACACAGAGAGCAGAGCAGCAUUUCUAGUCAUUGGUCACACCAAUAAUGAAGUGUCUGAUGCCUGUAGAGAACUUCAGCAGGCAUAUAAGGACCAGUGCUCCACACACACUUUCUUUCUUGAUGAGAUCAGGUGCCUCACUCCGGAUGAGAUGGACCAGCUGCUCUCUAAAGUGAAUUCACUGCACCUACAGAUAGAUACAAGCAGCUCUGAUAUAUGGGUAGUAAAAGGACUGAAGGAUGGAGUGAAUGAGGUGGUUAGACUGAUACAAGACGCACUUCGUAGACAGGUAAGAGACAAGGACCAGUCCAUCCUCUUCAAUCAAGUCACGUGGUGUAUUCUGGGAUCACGGGGCAUUUGGCAGAAGGUACCAAAAGACGUGAAUUAUAAGCUCGAAAAAAGCGAUGUGAAAGAUGGAAUUGUGGAUGCACAGGGUGUGAAAUGGACUGUGAAUUUGAGAAAGAUGGAGGCCAAAG
rnacentral:lncRNA from 1 species